rnacentral:misc_RNA from 1 species
GCAAACUUGGUCAUUUAGAGGAAGUAAAAGUCGUAACAAGGUCUCCGUUGGUGAACCAGCGGAGGGAUCAUUAGCGAGUUGAUUAUAAACUCCAAACCCAUGUGAAUAUACUUUUGUUGCCUUGGCAGGUCGUGCUGCACGGCUGGAGCGCUGCCUUGUAGCUGGGAGCCCUUACCCUGGAGUAAGCUACCCUGUACUUGGAAGCGCCUACCCUGUAGCACGCAACCAGGCCUGCCGAAGGACUGCCAAACUCUGUUUUACACCUGUAUUUCUGAGUCUAUUAUACAAAUAAGUUAAAACUUUCAACAACGGAUCUCUUGGCUCUGGCAUCGAUGAAGAACGCAGC